AAAUCAUGAGACAGGACAGGCCCUGAAGAGAGUUGUGCUGCUACUACAGUCCUGAAAAGUCCAUCAUCCAUCUGAGGCGCUCUGAGGUGCUUUGUGUGUGUGAAACAUGGAUGGCCUCCCUACAUCCACCGCCCUGUCUGCCAGUUCUUGUUCCAGAGCCAUAUGGCACCAAGCCGCCUGUCCGUCCACACUGAAAGAUCCUGUUGAAAAAACGGUUCAGCUGGCCCAGGAGCUGCGCGCUGAGUGGAUGGCAUCAAAAGAGCCACAGCACGUGGACGUGCCCUUCACAGA